rnacentral:rRNA from 1 species
AUUGAACGCUGGCGGAAUGCUUUACACAUGCAAGUCGAGCGGCAGCGCGGGGGCAACCCUGGCGGCGAGCGGCGAACGGGUGAGUAACAUAUCGGAACGUACCCAGUCGUGGGGGAUAACUAUCCGAAAGGAUAGCUAAUACCGCAUACGUCCUGAGGGAGAAAGCGGGGGAUCGCAAGACCUCGUGCGAUUGGAGCGGCCGAUAUCGGAUUAGCUAGUUGGUGGGGUAAAGGCUCACCAAGGCGACGAUCCGUAGCGGGUCUGAGAGGACGACCCGCCACACUGGAACUGAGACACGGUCCAGACUCCUACGGGAGGCAGCAGUGGGGAAUUUUGGACAAUGGGGGCAACCCUGAUCCAGCCAUUCCGCGUGAGUGAAGAAGGCCUCGG